rnacentral:rRNA from 1 species
UUANGCCUUACAGACUGGGACAACAUUUGGAAACGAAUGCUUAUACCGGAUAUUAUGACUGAGUCGCAUGAUUUGGUUAUGAAAGCUAUAUGCGCUGUGAGAGAGCUUUGCGUCCCAUUAGUUAGUUGGUGAGGUAACGGCUCACCAAGACGAUGAUGGGUAGCCGGCCUGAGAGGGUGAACGGCCACAAGGGGACUGAGACACGGCCCUUACUCCUACGGGAGGCAGCAGUGGGGAAUAUUGGACAAUGGACCAAAAGUCUGAUCCAGCAAUUCUGUGUGCACGAUGAAGUUUUUCGGAAUGUAAAGUGCUUUCAGUUGGGAAGAAGUCAGUGACGGUACCAACNNAAGAAGCGACGGCUAAAUACGUGCCAGCAGCCGCGGUAAUACGUAUGUCGCAAGCGUUAUCCGGAUUUAUUGGGCGUAAAGCGCGUCUAGGCGGUUUAGUAAGUCUGAUGUGAAAAUGCGGGGCUCAACCCCGUAUUGCGUUGGAAACUGUUAAACUUAGAGUACUGGGAGAAGGUAGGCGGAACUACAAGUGUAGAGGGUGAAAUUCGUAGAUAUUUGUAGGAAUGCCCGAUGGGGAAAGCCAGCCCUACUGGACAGAUACUUGACGCUAAAGCGCGAAAAGCGUGGGGUAGCAAACAGGAUUAGAUACCCUGGUAGUCCACGCCGUAAACGAUGAUUACUAGGUGUUGGGGGGUCGAACCUCAGCGCCCAAAGCUAACGCGAUAAGUAAUCCGCCUGGGGAGUUACCUACGCAAGNUAUGAAAACUCAAAGGAAUUGACGGGGACCCGCACAAGCGGUGGAGCAUGUGGUUUAAUUCGACGCAACGCGAGGAACCUUACCAGCGUUUGACAUCCCAAGAAGUUAACAGAGAUGUUUUCGUGCCUCUUCGGAGGAACUUGGUGACAGGUGGUGCAUGGCUGUCGUCAGCUCGUGUCGUGAGAUGUUGGGUUAAGUCCCGCAACGAGCGCAACCCCUUUCGUAUGUUACCAUCAUUAAGUUGGGGACUCAUGCGAGACUGCCUGCGAUGAGCAGGAGGAAGGUGGGGAUGACGUCAAGUCAUCAUGCCCCUUAUACGCUGGGCUACACNCGUNCUACAAUGGGUAGUACAGAGAGCUGCAAACCUGCGAGGGUAAGCUAAUCUCAUAAAACUAUUCUUAGUUCGGAUUGUNCUCUGCAACUCGAGUACAUGAAGUUGGAAUCGCUAGUAAUCGCAAAUCAGNUAUGUUGCGGUGAAUACGUUCUCGGNUCUUGUACACACCUUAAAGGNACACCACGAGAGUUGGUUGCACCUGAAGUAACAGGCCUAACCGUAAGGAGGGANUUCCNAGGUGUGG